AGUAGAGGUAAGUGGAACUCCUUGUGUAGCGGUGGAAUGCGUAGAUAUAUGGAAGAACACCAGUGGCGAAGGCGGCUUACUGGACUGUAACUGACGUUGAGGCUCGAAAGUGUGGGUAGCAAACAGGAUUAGAUACCCUGGUAGUCCACACCGUAAACGAUGAACACUAGGUGUUAGGAGGUUUCCGCCUCUUAGUGCCGAAGCUAACGCAUUAAGUGUUCCGCCUGGGGAGUACGACCGCAAGGUUGAAACUCAAAGGAAUUGACGGGGACCCGCACAAGCGGUGGAGCAUGUGGUUUAAUUCGAAGCAACGCGAAGAACCUUACCAGGUCUUGACAUCCUUUGAAGCUUUUAGAGAUAGAAGUGUUCUCUUCGGAGACAAAGUGACAGGUGGUGCAUGGUCGUCGUCAGCUCGUGUCGUGAGAUGUUGGGUUAAGUCCCGCAACGAGCGCAACCCUUAUUGUUAGUUGCCAGCAUUCAGAUGGGCACUCUAGCGAGACUGCCGGUGACAAACCGGAGGAAGGCGGGGACGACGUCAGAUCAUCAUGCCCCUUAUGACCUGGGCUACACACGUGCUACAACGGCGUAUACAACGAGUUGCCAACCCGCGAGGGUGAGCUAAUCUCUUAAAGUACGUCUCAGUUCGGAUUGUAGUCUGCAACUCGACUACAUGAAGUCGGAAUCGCUAGUAAUCGCGGAUCAGCACGCCGCGGUGAAUACGUUCCCGGGUCUUGUACACACCGCCCGUCACACCAUGGGAGUUUGUAAUGCCCAAAGCCGGUGGCCUAACCUUUUAGGAAGGAGCCGUCUAAGGCAGGACAGAUGACUGGGGUGAAGUCGUAACAAGGUAGCCGUAGGAGAACCUGCGGCU
rnacentral:rRNA from 1 species